UUCUGGUUGCCGCGGCAACGGGGCGCCGCGGCUCUCCUGCCCCGCUGGGUGGAGCCCGCUUUUCCCAGAACCGCGUUCAGUGGUCCCAGCUCCGCCUCAGGAUGCGGAGGGCCCGGGAGGCCAGGACGCGGACCCUUCUCAAAUGGCAAGAGUGUGGACGAGCCCAUCGUCCCAGAGUGAGCAGGAGAAGGCUGCCUAGAGCGGGGGCACCGGGAACAGGGUUCUGUGAGAAAGGACAAAGAACCCCAAUUUCCUGCCGUGGACUGGACACAGCACUGCAGGGGCAAGGCACAGGAUGGGGCAAAUUUAGGUGGGAAUAAGUGGGGUAGGUGCUCAGCAAGCAGGUCAGGGCUUCCCAGGAAAGACCCCUCCCCCCCAGGGAAGGGUGGAGGAUCAAGAUGAGCAGCUGCAGCUGAACUGUGGCUCUCACACCGUCCUUCAGUCCCAGGCAGGAGGAGAGAACCUAGGGUCACCUAGGCCAUUCCCUUGCCUUCGGGCAGCUUGCACUAGGUCUUAGGUAUAGUCACAUCCGGUCUUGGGCAUUCAUUAACUUCAUACUCUUCCCAGGGAAGAGGAAGGUGACCAGGUUCAUUGUUCCCAUUUCACAGAUGAGGAAACUGAUGCCUGUCUAGUAAAGUAUCUCAUCCUUGGGCCCUAGGGCCUGGCAUUGGCCCAAGCAGGACUGUCCAGGCCUUUAAUUCCCUGGUGUGCCGGCUUGGCCAAGGACUCCCAUGCCAUUGUUCUGAUGCUGUCCACCCUUGCUGAUGAGGCAGGGAUGUUGGAGCCAACUGAACGCCAUGUUUAAUGAGGUAGGUGAGCCAGGACAGAGAAUCCUGCUCCCGCCUCUGAUGGCCCUGGGUAGGGGUGCAGCAAGACUCCCAACUCGGUCACUCUGGGAGGGAGUCCAGUGUCGCCCCACACUCACUCCUGGUCUCAAAGCCCAUAGUCCAAUGGGGAGACAGACUUGAAGUGACCACAUGGGGUGAUAAAGGCCGAGGGGUAACAUGGAUAAAGCAUAAGAAAAGGGGUGCCUGAGUCUGCCCAGGGGAGCCGGGGGAGACCUCAUGGAGGAGGCAAACACAUAAGCCUUUGCUAGGCAGACAAACGAGGGGAGGGCAUCCCAGGAGUUCGGAGCAGCAUUUGCAAAGACCUAGAGGCCUGGCCCAGCGUGGUGCUCCGGGGAAGCCCCAGCCAGAGAGUCUGGAGUGGGGCUGUGGCAGGACCCUGGCUGUAGAGUGAAUGCUCACGGCAGGACUGUGUGCCUUGCAAGUGGGAUGCUUUCGACCCCCUUCUGAACCAUCAGGCACCUGCAGUUGCUUUUCUCUAGCUGGUGGAUUACUGGAAGCCUACCUCUGAGGACCCUACUUUGAGAAGCACUGAUGAGACACUAACCACGGCAAUCUACGGCUACAUGCCAACAUGGAUAAAUCUCAUGGGCGUUAUGUUGAGAGAAAGAAGCCAGGGAUCAAAGAGUGAUUCUAUAUGGCCCAGUAUAUCAAGUUCGGAAAUGUGCAGAACUCAUCUCUGCUGUGAAGGACAGUGGUUACCACUGAGGAGUGUAAGAGUUCUUGAGGAGGGUCUCCGGGGAAGCAGUAAUAAUAUUGUGUUUCCUGUUGGGUUCACAGAUGUGUUCUCUUUGUGAAAAUUCAUCCAGCUAUAUACUUAAGAUGAUUCCAAAAUGAAAACAUAGGCAUCUUAAAGUCUCAUAGAGAUAUCUCAGACUCCAGAGAACUGGGUGUACAGACACCAGGGUUGAGAAACUCCAGUUCAAGAGGAGGUAUUACGAUGCUCGCUACUGGGACUAGGCAUAAAGGAACCAGCCUCCUUCAUUCUCCUUGGCCAGUUCUACUCCGAUGGCAUUUCUCGAGGCACCUUCACAAUUUUGGCCCUAGCCUCAUGCUACCUAGAGUAUCAUUUACUUGAUAUUUUUUCCAUAAAACGAUGCACAGAGCACAUUUGGGGCUACCUCGCCGCGGGGAGGCCUGUGUGAGGGGCCCUGGCAACAAGAGCAGUUGGAGCUCUGGAGGAGACAGUGCUAAGCUUGGAGCUGGCCUGGAAGGCUUCCAGGAGGAGGCUUGCACCUGUGUCUGCCAGGAAGCCAGCGAGAGACUCGAGAGCCUCGAGAGCCUCGGGGGCUCUGGUUACAGUCAUGAGCCGGGAUGGUCUCAGGGGUGCCUCCUCUUCCAAGAAGCUGACUUUUGAGGAAUCCGCCCGGGUCAAGGGGGUCACGAUGUGUUUGCACCGCUUCAGCUGUUGAUUACACCUCCAUCCGCGCCACUAGCAGCUCCCAAAGGACACUCUCUUCCUCACAGCGUGUCCCUGCUCCUGUUUUUCACGUUUAUGGGCAUCAGGUGGUUUGCAGAGGGAUCCACACCCAGACAUUCGCACCCAGUGAGGUCAGCUGGGAAAACAGCAGCUGCCAGCGGCCGCCCCUCGUUCUGGAAGCUGUGCGCUGGGGUGGAGCGGGGGCAGCAGCCCUGGCCUUGGCCCGCCCCUCCCUCCCACCUCCCCCUGCCCCCAGCGCUCCUCUCCUGUCCCUGCUCCAGCCUCACGCCUGCCCAAACAAUUGUUUAUCAACACAGACCAGAACAUUCUGCUGCCAGCAGAAACACACAUGGCGAUGGCAGUGCCAUCCCACGCCCUGCUGUCAACACACUCCCACGCACUGUUUGCCGCUGUCAAAGCUGUGCUCACACACACAUUCUCGCCCCCUCCUGCCAACACAGCUGUUCCCUGCUGCUUGGAACCGGGCCCUCCAUCUCACACGACACUCGGGUUCUCUGUGGGCUUUUCUCCUGUGGACUCCUGGUGGGGGCGCGCACCCGUGCACCAGGCCAGCUCGCACUCUGUCCCCUGACCUGGGCCCCCCAUCUCUCCGCCUGCUAUUGUGUGACUUUGGGCGAUUGGCUUAGCCUCCCUGGGCAUCAGAUGCCUCGAUCUGCAGAACGGGGACCAUUAGAGAGAGCGGGGGGGGGGGGGCUCUCUCUUCCCGGAGGGAGGCUCGGGGGCAGGCGAGGGAGCCCGCAUCCAGGACGCGCACCUUCACUGGAGCUCUGGCGGGGGUGAUGCCAAGUGUUGCAUCCUUUCUGGAAUCUGGCCAUUGGUUUUCCUUUCCCACGCUCGGCUGUCGGGCUUUGCCUCGUGGUCACGCCUUCCUGGCCGUGACCUUGAGCCAGGCACGCCACCUGUCCACUUCUCAUGCCCUUGCUGGUGAAACGGGUAUAACGACCGCCCGGCCAAGCCCGCAGGCCUGCUGCGAUGGGCUCGGAGAGGGGUUGCCAUCGGUCCCGGCCGCAGCCGCAGGGCAUCGUGGAAGAAAGGGAUCUGAACAGGGCAGCAGCCAAACUUGGACAUUUUCAGCUGUUCUGCACCACCCUGCCUCUCCUUGGUCGGUCUUCUAGCCAGAGUCAGUGUUUCCAGUUGGGCUUUGUGGGGCUGCCACUGGCCCCAGAGGCUACGCUGGCCCAUCUCUGCCUCAGCUGGCGGCCUCACCCGAGCCUCCACUGACCCUGACGUGCCGGGGCCCCUGGCUUGCUCAUCUCCACUCCCUACUUCCCCCCCCCAGGGCCCAAGGAACCCCCACCACGCCCCUUGCCCUGUGCUGCCCUCCACCCCGUCCCCUUCACCAGGACGCUUUCAGUCUUGUCCCUUCAACCCUGCCUUUCCUUCUGCUCGGUCAGCCCACUCUAGGCUUUUCUAUUCUGGGAAACAGGUGUAUGCAGAAGGGAGGAAAACACAUGUGAUUUGAGAUGCGGGCUCUGCAGUGGGCCGAGCAUCAGGUGGGGCCGCGGAAGAGAUCUGGACUUUUCCCCACCCUGUAGCAACUUACUUCCUGACCCCUGAUGAAAUUCGGUGAAAUUGCGAGAGGGCAGCUUCUGGCCUGGUCCCUGCUCAGAGCUUGUGGCUUCUCCCCAUCACUCAGAGGGACUUCCCUGCUCUGACCACCCGGGGUGGGGGGCCUGCGUAGGGGAACCAUGGCAAGUGGGGCACAGGGCAAGAGCACACAUGGAAACCCACAUACCACAUUGUCUAAAUAGUCAAUCAACAUUUAUAAUUCAAGCUAAUAAGCUGUCAAGUCCAAUGUUGUAUUUUCCAACCUCCCUAAAUACAUUGUCAGAAUGACCUGGAAAGUCAAGUUUGAAUCUAGAAUUCUUGGGCUCUUUGGAGUCCUCUCCUGAACGUGGGGACAUAUGGGAGAGCCGAGCUGGUGGUGUGACCACAUGUGUACCAGGGGCUCUCGGGCAGUCGGCUGAUUUGGCACAAACACAAACUAGGUUUUAAUCUCACCAAUCAUCUUUUUGCUUUUUAUUUUCUCCUAGGCCCCUGGAGAGAAUAAAAAGUAUGCACAGUGGUGAAGACUUAUGUUCCAAUCCCCGGGCUGCCAAAACUGAGCACUUAAUCUCUUUGAGUCUCAGUUUCCCCACCUAUAAAAUGGGACUAAUGAUACCUCCCUGAUAAAGUUAUUGCGAUUAUUAAAGGAGGUAAUCCCUGUAAAGCCCUUAGCAUGGUCCUGCAACAUAGUAAUUGCUCAAUAAAUUGUGAGCUACUAUUGCUGUUA